GAAAUAACACUUUUUAGUAACCCUUCUUCAAAAAUGAGCCCAGCAAAAAUGCUCCAAACGCUGUGAAGCUCAUGUUCCUGUUGCUCUUCCAUUCCUUUCUCUGUCUAUGCAAAGAGAACAAAGCAACACUCAUUCUGUUGUUUAGGACUUGUAAGGUAGUCAUUUUAGAUACAAAUAUGUCACAGUUGUUAUCUUUAAUUUACACUGAUGGCUCUUGUGUCAGAUAGAAGUCGCAGGCAUAAAAGUUACAAGGCCACCCGCUUAGAUCAUGAGAAAAUAUGCACGACCUCAUCUUCUCUGUUGAUAUUGAUAUUUGCUGCAUUUUUUAGAAACUUUUUUUUGCUAUGUUCAAUUGCUCUUCAGGCUUCUUCAGCAGCUUCCCUUUUUCUUUUUUUUUCCCUUUUUGAUAAGCAUCAAGCAAAAAAAAAUGUGGGAACUCUUGCUCGAGCUCGGAGUGAGGAACACCUCCAUCUGUACUGUUCAGCACCCAGCAGCAACACCACUGGAGUCUGUGCGCUGUGCGAGACACUGUGUUCCUUCAAAUGUUCUGUGAGUUUUGUUUAACUUGUGCAUAUGACUUUCUCUGGUGACUUUGCAGUUAUAAUAUCCAAAACCCCUCUGGGAGAAAAUCUUUGACUGUUCCCAGUUGAUUGUCGUCUGUUUUCUGGAGCUUAAUACAGCCCAGGCCUGUAUAAAGUACACAUGUGGGCCUAAAUGCGGGGGUGCUAACACUUUAGAGCCAAUUCUCCUAUGUAUGGGCGGGGGGUAUGGUUUGUUUGAAUUCAGGGGCAACAUAACUGGUAGCGUAUCCCCUGUCCAAGUGUUAUUGACCCAUUGAUGUAAGUCAGCUUGAUUGGGCGGCACAGCUUGUGGGCCUUUGCUUGUGCUUUAAGAGGACCGCCUCAACAAAGUCUAGGCUCAGUGUUCAUGCAUACAAAUUCUUGCAGUGCACCGACUCAUUGUAGCCGCCACAGUUGGAGAAGAAAGUGGGUGAUUGCAUGCCAGAUGCAGGUGAGAGACCCAUUAACGGUUGGCACAUUUGCACACAUCAAAGGUCAGUGGUUUAUGGAUAGAGAAGCACUACCCCUGGGUAUCGCUGCCAAAUCUCUAGUGACCUCCGUAACCUCCCUCUGUGGACCACUUAAAUUCCACAUGGCCGUUUAACAAAUUAUGCCUAUUGUUCAUAUGACAAUGGAGCCUCUGUGACUGAAUGGAUAGCAGUGACCCUUACAUGGGCUGUGACUGAAUUCCACGCAUUCCAAUAUGAAGAAUGUGAAGUGGAAUUAAAUAAAGUACGAGACACAUAAAGAUUUUAUUGGUCUUCUUUAAGCUUUAUUUAAGUAGAGUUCUGUGCAGAGGCUAAAUGUGAAUGAGAGCAAAGAGAAAGUGAGUAAUUAAAGGAGAAGUGAGAAAAUGCUUUUUUAUUGCAAGGGCAAAGUUAGGAAAAGAGCAAUAAAAAGCUGAGGAAUAGCGUUUUUGAGGAGGAUAAUUUGAAGCAAUACAGUUCUGCUUCUGUAAUGACAUGUUUCUCUACCCAAAAAAUCCAACUUCCUGGCUCUGCCUGUCCUCUAAUGUUUUCUGUCUCUAGAGCUGGUCUUGUCAGAGAAAAGAGAAUUAUAGAUUCCUGACAAGAAAGAAAAUGUCGUGUAUGCUAUUUUAGAAGUGUGUAUGCAUAAUUUAGCUACCUUGGUUGAUAGCUGUGAAGCAAGAAGACUGACAACACUUUUUUGUAUACUGUUUGACAUCAGAAUGAACAAGCUUUCAGUACAUCAUGUUCAAAUGAAAGUUCAAAUGUUUGCUUUGAAGUUAAGUUCCAACCACAAGCUUUUAAUGGUAUAUUGUUCGGUUUAUUUAGUAUAGAAGUUUCUCAUGCGGCACCAAGCACACAUUCAUCAAGAGUUGUAUAAACUAAAUGUCGCAAGGUUGACAAGUGGUUGCUGGUGGUUGUUGCCAGGUGAAAUCGGUUGCAGAGUAAUAGAUUUGUAUUUUCUAAUUCGUUUUUAUUUUAAUUUCAUUUUGACUUUUUAUUUUUAAUUCAGUUUAGUUUUAUUGAGUCUCUUUUUUGUUUUAGUUUAGUUUUUAUUACUAACACUUUAUUAAAGUGUUAGUUUCAGAGGCAAGAUUUAGUAAAAUUUAGUACAUUUUAGUAAAAUCAGCACUGGUGUAUAUAAUACCAAUAAAAAAACAAGAACAUAAUUUUAUGAAAGCAGUUGAGUCUCAGUCUUGUGAACAUCUUGUGGUUCACAAAACUGUAUUAGUUGUUUUUUUUCCAGAAGUUUAGUGUUUUAUUUUUGUCAUAUUGUGUCUUUUAGUUUGUAGUUUAGUUUUAGUGAACUACCAUUACCCUGGUCGCUAGCAGAUUGCUUUGGUGGCGUGUAGCUUAGAUGGAAGAUGGCAACUUGUCUGCAAACGCUUGCCAACUAAUAACAAAGCAGUAUUAAAACUUGAAAUAUUGCAACUCAAAGUGGAAACAGAGAACUUUUACCUUCAAGUUUAAGGUUGUUCGCCAACGCUGCAGCUAAAAAACUUUCAGAAAAAUUGUACUUUCAAGGCCACCAAUCACUGAAUGCACAUUUUUCAAUCACUGGUGGUUGCCAGGAAGUCACUUGCUGGUCUCUAGACCCGUGUUAUUGGGGCCUUAUUCACCCAACCCUACAUUCUCACACAUCCGAAAUAGCAGACAAUUUAGUUGUGUGGUUUGUUGUCAUGUGAUUGCAAAACCUCAAUAGUGUUUGCUUGAAGCGCUCUAAAACUGGCUCUGAAAACACUUAUACAUAUAUAUUAUCCUUUCCAAUUGUUUUAGCCUUUUGUCCACACAUACAGAGUUUUAGGUCAAAGAAAGAACUCCAGAGUUGAUGUGUAGAUGAGGUAGACUUGAGUCUGUGACAUCUGAAGAGAGUACAGCACAGAGAAGAAGGUUCGGAUUGGUUUGCUUUGUGUUCAUUUGUGUUUUUAUGUGAAUGGCGAUUUUUUUUUAAGCCUUUAUAAUGACAUGAUUAUUUAUUUAUUUAUUUGAGGACUUUUAUUCUUCCAUUCCCUUCCUGCAGGAACAGCGUGGUAUUUGACAUUUAAAGGGGACUUUUCCAUCUGGAUUAUAUAAGAAAUUGCUAAAAGGAGAUGGAAAGUGAAAACCUGUGGCAAGCUUAACAUGUAUUAUGUGUCUGUGCGUCAUGCUUAGAACAUGCAUUUUUCCACAAAGGAUUGAUCCCAUUUGCUUGAGUAAAAUCUCAGUGGAGUUGAUGGAGAUGUGUUUGUACUUGUGAGUUAGCGGGUUGCUAGAAUCUGACCAGCAGUCUAUGGCUCGAUUGGAACAGAUUUUGCUAUGUAAGCGUUCGCUUAAACAUCAACAGCAGAGUAUGGGCUUUUCAUACUCUAAUCCUUACAUUGUCUCUUUGAUAUGCGUUGCACACAGCCGUGCACGACUGUGUUCAUUUACUGUCAACCUGCAUGUUGGUAUAGGAAGGACAGAAUAGUAAAAGAGUGAGGUGGUCAGGAGGGAAGCCUCCAGUAUAAUGACAGUAUGCUAAUAAGUUGAUCAGCAGGCGCCUGAUCCUGCUCAAAUGGAACACAACAUGUUCCAUAAAGGCUGUCAUCUAAGCAGCUGUGCAGAAUGUAACAUUGUGAUCAGGCUAUAAUACCACUUUCUUACUCAAAGUACUGCAGAACCAGAGUUAUUUUAGUUUUGUGCUUUCCAGUUAUUAGAAUUUUCUUUCCUUUUUUCAGUUUAGUUUCAUUUCAGUUAGUUUCCAGAGUGAGUUUGCUCUUUUCAGUUUUGUUUUUAUUCUUUGAAAGUUUACUUUCAGAUUUAUUAGAUUUAAUAGUUUCGAAGUGAAUCUGUCAUGUAAUUAUAAAUUUUCAGGGGCUUUUUUAAUAUUCACAGUAGGUAUUUAAAAAAAAAAAAAGCACUUUUUGGAGACACAGUCGAGUACACUGUCGCAAGUAUUAAUAAACAGAUGCACAAAUCCUCAAAAACUAAAACACUGGUCAAAAAUAAAGAGUAUCACAAUGGACUUUCUCUGUUAAGUCGGGCUUUCUGCUGUCGGGUCCGUGUGGCUUCACAUAAAAAUGGGCAUUUCACGGGUCAUAUGACUCUUUUUCCACACAAAAUGAUCCCCCUGAGUGCCGCCUACUACAGUCAGAGACAUUAUCAAAUGAAGAUGAUAACAUGGUGAUAAAACCCUGUAAAGGACAUAAACAGUAAAACGAAACACUGUUGCAAAUAAUGCAAGUUAAUCUGGUGAUUAGUCACACAGAGCAGUAAAAUCAACCUUUUAGUUUGAGUUAAUUGCUUUACCGCUGAGUGCCCUGAUGCAGUUUAGCAAGUUUAAGAAGUUAAGUUGAUUCUUGUAUUGUUUUUUCUCUUUUGAACCUAGAACCUAGUUUGCACAGUAGUCAUCUGCUCAGUUUUUUAAAUAGUUUAUUAGCAGACAGAGCCGCUGCUGUGUACUGGGAUUGCAGCCCUGGUUUGUGGCGGGUGGUAUCCUAACAUAGCUGAGCUAUGCAGCCAAUUGUUUUUUUUAUACCUAAUAAAAAUUUUAUUAAAUACUUUGACCAUCUAGUAUUUCUGGAGCAAAGCAACUUUGAAAUAUCCAGUCCCAUUCAGCCAAGCCAACUUUAUUUAUAAGGCACUUUAAAAACAGCUAGCACUGACCAAAGUGCUGAAUCUUAAACAAGAAAAAGUAUAAAUACUAAAAAUAAAAAUACAAUAACAGUAAACAAUAUAAUAAAAUUAACAAUUCUAUAAUGGGUUUAAAGCCAGGUGGGUGUUCAGACUAGAUUUAAAAAUAUCGACAUUGAGGAGACCUUUCUAAUUUCUAAUGGUCACUAUUGUUCCACAAUUUGUGAUCUGCAAAAACAAAUAAAAGAAUUUUAAAAUUAACUCUAAAAUGGACAGGCAGCCGUGAGCAGUGAGGAUAAAAUGGGAGUACCAGUUGAGUUGUAAUAAAAGCAUGGAUUUCACUGCUGAUCUCACUUUAAAACCCAAUUUAGUCUUAAUUCAGUUUUAUUUAUAUAGCACCAAACCACAACAACACUCAUCCCACGGCACUUUAUAUUGUAUAGUAAAGAUCCAACAAUAUUAGAGAGAAAACCCCAACAAUCAGAGGCCUACUUUGAACAAGACCUUGAUGACAGUGGGAGGGGAAAAACUCCCUUUCAACAGGAAGAAACCUCAGACAGAGACAUAAAUCUGUGAGAGGAUUUCGUAAAACCAUGGCAGGCUGUUCUCCAGGGCUGAAUUAAGCCAUAGUUUUGUGUUGUGUAGUGUUCUUUGUUUUUUCAAAUGCCUCUCUCCUCAUUCAUUUAAUAAAGGCUUCAAAAUAACUGCUCAAAGGUGUUACCACGAAAGCUGCCGAGCAGCGAGACUUGCCUCUGGAAGGACUUUCAAAGCAGCUGCUUGUUACUUUACAUAAUGGAUAUGACUGUGCAUGUGCCCUUUGUGGCAUUUUAAUAUUACAUUUGAAGACAACACUGUCAAAGGUCCCUCUGUGCUUUUCUCAAGUAGCUGUUUCAUAAGCGAAGGCUCCCUCUCAUCUCUCUCCCUUCGUCACUGCUGAUUUGCGCUCUUCCUCUAAUCAAAGCUUAAGAGGAGUUCAUCUCCUCUCCUCUCCUCCCCCUCCAUCUCGCAUAUCUGUUUGUCUCUGGCCAACGGUAUCACACAGGCUCGCCUGUUCUCUUUCUGUCUCUAGGCUUGUAUAAUGAGCUCUGCUUGGGACAGGACAUUCUGCAGUUUGGCCUUUUACUCUCUGGCCAAGAGGGAGUGGGAGGCAUGAAUAAGAGGAGGAAGAAAAGAACGCAUAGAUAGAUGUAAGUAGUCUGUCACUAUAGCAGCAUACAGGGGUAGGUUGAAUGUGUUCAAAGAGAAAAUUUGGAUCGGCUAACUUAAUUACCCUCUGCAUGGAACAAUAAAGAGUAUGAGUAGGUUGAGAUGGUUUCACGGUUCCCCGUCUCUCUGCUGUUUCAUGAUUACAGUCCUGGACAUGAAUCCUGCAUAUCAUGGUAAACAAUAGUUUAUUUACUUAUAUGUUUAACCAAAGGCUGAUACUGUGUUUAAAAGUCUGUCAUAAAAGUAUGCAGCAUUUGAGUUUUUCCUACACCGUGGCACAAAUAGACUGUUGUCAGUGUCACCGAGUUGUACAUUACCAUGUUUUCCAGUAGGGGUCAGUGUUGAUACAAUUAUGAUCUACUGUUUAACUGAAUCGUAAUUAAGUAUUGUAUACAUACUGACUCCAUUAUAAAUAAAAACAUGCACUUUUCAUAAUAUUUGGAUAACAUAACUAUUUUUAUAGGAAAACAGAAUUAUGAAAAUAUUUUGGCAACAUUAAAAAAAUUUUAAUGUCCAUUUUAAGAGAAAACGUAGUGAGUCAGUAAUGCCACAGGCCUGUAUAUAACUGUACAUUGUUAGCCUUUAUUCGGAAGAGAGAUAUAGAGGAAGACAAAUGAUACGCAAUGUGCUCCUUGCUAUCUGAUCAGUGCUUGUUGGCAGUAGCUGGGUUCAGGCUGAACACAAAAUGAGACCGUGGCUUAUGAGAAUGUGGACGUUGCUGAUCGCUUUAAAAAGAAGCUGAAGACCUGCCUGCUAUUAUUUAGUUUUGUCCAUUUAUACUGUUUUCAUUGCUGUAUCUUACUUGAUAUUGUAGAGCAGCUUGUGACUUUUGUUCUUGUUGCUUUUGAUAAGUGCUGUAUAAAUAAACGUACUCCCUUACUUGUAGGACGAGUUUGUUGCUGUUUACACCAAAUCCAUCGUGACUUUAUUACAUAUAAUAAAGUCAAGCUGUCUUUUAGAGGGGAAGCUAUGAUCUGCCCAAGGAGACUCCAGCAGCAGUAGCAGUAGCCAUCAGUUUCGGCCUAUCCACUGCUUGUAAUCCAUACUAAUGCAUUUCUCAAUUUCCAGAUGAACGAGACACUCAGUCCUUGAAUCUUUACGCUUUCUUAGAGCUGUCUAAUCCCUGUGACUCUGUCUGAGAUGUUUCGCUUUUAAUGGCUGGCUGUAUUUGAGCAGUAAUGGCCACUGUGCUCCCCUUUUCUGUGUUCGACCCUGUAUCCGUGUGGAGACAAUAGAGUGAGCUGUGUUGAGAAUCAAUACGUCUCCCUUUGUCUUUUUGUUUUGUGCGGAAAGUGGAAUUAGUUCCAUCUUCAGAGCAGCAGUAUUUUAGAGAACAACAGGCUCACUUAGUGCCUCUCUGGGUUUUAGGUCUCACUUUCAGAACUCUGAAAUGUCAUUGCUCUUACCAUCUUAACACUGAUGGUUUAGGUUGAGUACACCUUGCUAAUUACACCCUCUCAAGUAAAAUACUCUUGUGAAGUCAGAGUUAGACAAAAGCAGAAACUUGUAAAGAAACAGAGUGAAACAUUAGUCUUUAGUGCUAGUUGGACAAACUUCUACUGUUCUUCUAUCUUGGAUACAAUGUGGUCAGUUCAACAGGUCACACUGACUUCACAUUCCCCAUGUGGUGUUUUCACUUCUGUUUCUCUCAGGUACCAUUCAGGCAUCUUCUACUUCAUUUUCUAAAGGAUUUUGCUGUUGUGUUUGAAUAAAUCGAAUAAUUUACCCUUAUUUACUGUAAUACACCCUCUUACAUCAAAUCUUGUUGAGCCCAUUAUUCGUUAGUCGAACACAAGAACACUAAUAGCCUUUUUCCAGGAGUACCUACUUGGGUCUGCUUGGCACAGCUUUUAGGGUUUUCCAUUAGGUGGUAGUACUUGGUACCAGGUACUUUUUUAGUGCCUACUCGACUGGGGUUCCAAGUGAUCUGAGGCGAUUCGAAAAUGUGACGUCAGCAGACUGCAUGUCACUGAUUGGCUAGUCAGUAGUAUCACUUGUUGAGUCAUGAGAGCUUCUCCUUCACAAAAAUCCAGGCCGCUAAUUUUGAAACCUGAAAAUUCAGGAAAUAGCUACACAAAAAACAACAUGGUGGUCCUUGAGUCUGACAAAAAGCCUUAGACUGACCAGCACGUAUACCAGCGCCUCGAUACCCGUUGCUGUGGCGUUCGUGUCUCAUAGAAAUGAUGUCGCAAGACUUUCAGUCGCAUGCUGUAACAACCAUAAGCACAUUACGUUGUACGAGUUUGUAAAGGAAAAUGACUGAAAACAAGUCAAGUCGAGUGGAGCAGGCACUAAAAGGCUAAAAGGUUUUGCAGGACUCCACCUGCAGACACCAUUUUGACUCUUGCUUAAUUCUUUCUCACUGCCCUAAAUGGCUUGUACAGUCAGUACAGUCAGUGCAAUACAUUUAUCAUGAUAGAUUGAGUCAUUACUCUGUCUGUACACUGCAGGACUUUUUUUUUUAUUUAAAAAGCCUUUUCCACUCUGCUGCUCUUGAGAAUAAUCAAUUCACGUGGCUGACUGACUGGAAAAUAGUCACUUAAAUAACUCCUAGUGAUUCUUGGGUUUGAGGAAAGGCUGUCAAAAAGACUGUAAAGAAACUUGCACAUCUGUAUUAUCUCUAUAGUGCAUAUUUGAAUGUUCAAGUAAGGUAAAUAGAGCAGGCAGUUUUUAGAUUUCAUGUUACUGUGAGCUAGAAUGACCAAAACCAACUAACACCUAGCCCCAAGUAAUCGAAAACUUCCAAUAAACUGCACUGCAGAUUUUAGUUUUCGUAGAGCAAUUGGAAGAAAAUUCAUCACAACUUGAAAAUAUGUUGAUUAUUGUUUUGUUUUUUUUAUAAGACCUCAGAUGUCCUCUAGACCGAUGAAGACCUGUCUUAUCAAAAACUAAGUACACCUUUUCAGCUUUUAAAAGAUUUAAGCAACAGCCAGGUGCUACUGAUCAAAUUUACUUCACCACCUCUAUAAGAGCACUGAUCUGGUGCAGGAAUGCGUCCAUACAACGCCACAAGGAGUGACCCAAGAGCUACAGUUAAAUUUCAUGACAGUAAAAUUAGAAAAAGACUGAACCAGUGUGGAUUGUUUGGAAAGCCUCCCCUGUCUAAAAAUAGCAUGGCAAAGUUACAUCUGAAUGUACCACAAGACGUCAGGAACGAUAUUAUUUGGACAGAUAAAACCAAGGUGGAGAUGUUUGGACAAAAUGUACGGCACCACAUUUCACCUCAUAACAGUGGUUAAGCACGGUGGAGGAGAAGUGAUGAGUUGGGCACCUCAUGGUCAUUGACCUGACCUCUGUAUUGCCUCUGUAUAUAAUUCGAGAGUCAAAUAUGAGGCCAUCUAUCUGGCAGCUAACAGCUGGCUAAAAUUGGGUCAUGCUAAAGCACAUGCAAUCUCAAGCACAUCAGAAUGACUUGAAAAGGAAAGAACCAAGGUGUUGCAAUGCAUCAGUCAAAGUCCAGCUCUCAGUCUGAUAGAAUACCUGAACGUCAUGUCAGGAACUUAAGAGGAGCUAUGUGAUCAUUAACAAAAAAAAGUAAACCUUGCACAUAUCCUGAUCAGUCAUGCUAUAAGCUUUGUUGACAAUAGAUAGUUUGGUAGUCAUUUAGUAUUAAAAAGUACUUUGCAAUUCCAAAUUAUAUUGCUGCUGGGGGAACUCUCCUUUGAUUGUUUUUUUAAGCUGUUAUUCUCAGAUUUAUUAGCAUUUUGUUCUGGAGGUCUUAUUUUGAAAAGCAAUUUGAAUUCUUGCAAUGUUUGCUAUAUUCAUUAGUACCUGCGAAAGCUUAUUUGGUCCUUUUAUAAUGCAAAUGUUUUUAGCCAGCAUACACAUUAAAAUGAAAGCCUGUGGUUUACUUUACUUUUUUCUUGGCCUUUCUUCCUUUUGGCCCUUUGACUGCCCACUGGUGUGUUUGUCAUCGAGGCAGAGGGGAGCCACCAGCUGUACACGAACUCUUCCUGACCCUGGACUGGCUGUCUAUAAACUCCUGGCUGGUCAAACAAGAACUCAUUGUAGGUAGCUAUUCCCACAGCGACUAUCAUGCUGGCAAGAUCAAUCUGCUUUCAAAUAAAAAAGAAAGCGGUCCGGCCUUACACGCGCCGCUUUUGUGUGUAUGAAUAACACUCAACUGCCAUAUGAGUUCAGUAACCUUACAGACUAGGUUUUUAAGACUUUGCGUGUUGUGUGGUUAUUGCUGCUUUCACCUUUAAAAGUACAGAAAAUAUGUACACUCUUCAGGGGUUUUUGUUUCUCAUGAGCUCAGUGGCAGCAAUGCAAAACCUGGAGGCAAUGCAUUUCUCCUGCUUUGCAGCAGGAGGCUCUGGCUUGAUACUGAGUGAUGUAUGCUUGCUAAAUACGCUCUGUGGGACCUCGGGAAUGCCUACUCUAUGUUAUAAGACAUACAGGCACAAACACACACUGCUAUAUUGUGUCGAUGGGAGUUUAUGGACUGGGGUAAUGACAAAAACUCUUCACAGCAUGCAGCGUUAUGGUCCCCACUGCUCUCACUAGCAACAAGCAGCAUCACAGUGAACAAUUGAGCAGCCACUGAAGGAAGGAAAUGUAUUGCAGAGCGCGAGUAUGAGAGAAAAAGAGAGGAAGACUUUGAUUAGGUACAAUCAACACAGAAAUCCGUUCAUCUUGGAAACCAUGGCAGACUUUGAUUACAAGAAUGUAUAAAAUUGACCUUUUUUGAGCUGUUUAUGAUUGUGUUUCUGAUUAGAUAUCUUGAUUUUUAUAAGUGUCUUUUUUGGUAAUAAGUUUAACUUAACUUGUGAAUUUUUAGUCAGUUUCCAGCUGGAUCUAAUAGCUGUUUUACAUGAGUGGAGCUGAAUUUUAUUAUUUAUUUAUUUAUUUUUGGGGGGGUUCUGCCUUCAAUUUGUAAUUAGAUGGCUACAGUGAAAAAGUUUGGGAAUUCGGCCACUAUUCCUCUUGAAAGUCAGCUGAUAGAUAUCGACAGUUAAAAUGACAGCGCAAGUGUAUAAACAAGCAAAUAAACAAUGAAAUCUGUUUAUGUUUUGUGCGUCUGAAAAAAAAUAUUAGCCAAUAUAUUAGAAUAUUGGAUUUUAAAAUUCACACAUAUCAGUAUCUGUAUUGUUCUUAAAAAUCCUAUAUCAGCUGAGCUUUAUCCAUGAACGUUCCCGCUACUUCAGCUUGCUCUGACGACUUGAAAAUCAAUGCAGUUUAACCAUAGAUUUGUCAAAGUAACCCAGCUUUCAUUCAGAGGAUCAUAACUGGGGACAAAAGUCUGAUUCCCAGCUUAGAGACAGACUCCAAGCAGCAGUCUUUAGUGGAAGAAAUCAUGGCAUAUAAACCUGAGUAUGGGCUUGCAGGCAGGACGUUUACCACAGACUAUCUACACCGUGGCCAUGUCCCAGGGAGUUUUUUUUUUUUUCCCACACCAGUGCAGUCUUUGCUCAUCACCCAACCUGUUUGCUCCCAUUGACUCACCCAAAUAAAAUUCAGGUUGCUGGGUGGCUGUUUUGACAAAGUGGAUGAGAUGGAAGUCCAACUGGCCAAAACAUGACUGGAAUAGGAGCGCUGGAAACUGUGCUGUGCUUCACAACGGGACAGCCUUAAAGGGGCUAGAGGAGAAAUCAGUGGACUUUGUUGGGACUCACUGUAGUCUCUUUUAAACAUAUUUUAACAAGCACGCAGUUAGAUCUGCUUAGAAACCGUACCCAACAUCAGAAAAUGAGUAUUAGAAAUUUCCUGUGAAGUGACAGGUGAAACCUGUUUUAUUUAAACACAUUACAUCAUCUACGUUUUUGGAGUCACGCCAAGAUCUCAAGAGCUCUGUAAGGUAUUCAACAAAAAUACUUAUUUUCAAGGGGUGUCUCAGCAACUAACAGUUAUUUGAAGUAAAUCAGCUUUCAGGACUGGCUUCUCCAGAAAAUCCAGCUCUGGAGCAAGUUUUUUUUUUGUAUGAAUUAGCCUUAUGUGAAGUCAGGAAGAAGCUAAAAGCACUUCCAUAACUAAGCCCUAAUGUGCACACAUGUCUGCAUUUGUUCCAUUGUAUUUAGAUGUGGACUAUAGGCCGUCUUCUUCAUAGCAUGCAGUGAUUGGCUGCUUUAUCACUCUUUAUAGCUUAUUUACAUUUGCUUCUGAUAGGCUGUCACUCCCAGGCAUGCUUUUUUUUGCCUAAGGAGGCAAAUUAGUGGCUGAAGUGUAAAACCUGGAACAUGACUGAAAAAACUGGAUCCGGAGCCACUGAAUGUCAAAGGUUGUGACGUUUUAUUAGCAAGUGUUGCUUCCCGCUCCAGUUUGUCUUGUCUGUGUGUCUACAGCAGCUUUAGUUUGAUUGUGGGAGGGAACUGAAACCUGCUGUGAUCUAAUAGCUGGCUUGUUAACUCCAUUCCACUGAAGGCUUUGCCUGUUUUCUAGGCAUCCCAAACUUUUUCCCCCUGUUGUUCUCAGCCACAUAGCAUGUUGUCUUCUCUACACUCACAGGAUUUGAGUUUCAGGGGGUGAGGACAGUUGUUUUGACUGUAAAGCUGUGUGACAAAUUCUCCUUCGCUCCUGUUUGAAUGUGAGGAACUGGCUUUGUGACUGUCUCUAAAAUUCCUUUAGUGCACUCUUGCACUGGGAGCAGGAACAGCUUUCCUGUCAUUCAGGAUACACGCUCACACUAUUCCGGACAUCAUGCCUUUGGGAUCUUUGUGUGGGAAACUUUGAGGAGGGGGAGUGCUCAGAGGUUCAGAGCAGUAACCUGAGCUUGUGGGACAAGACACAAGUAUUGGAGCUGAAGUAAAUGUUCGAUGGAUUAAUGUUCUCUUUCUUCAGAGGGAAAUGGUUUCACAGUGGUGGGGAUUUUGUUCUGACACUACCAAUGAGGACUUGAGUAGAUGUGAAUGUCUCCAAGAGGACUCCUGAGUGAAAUUUUGUCAUAAAUUUGAGUUGUGAUCCAUGAAAACCUCUCCUCACAUUUUUCUGCGCUGGUAGCACCUCAGGAGGACUUGGAUUUUAGUGCUGUUCAUAUUUUUUGUGUCGGAUUCGGAGUGGGAAAUCACACCAUGGCUGGAGUUACAAGGAAGGGAUCUGGGAGACCCUCAUACUACUACAGAUUCCUGGGCAAAUCCCGACUGCAGCGUCAGCGGAGCCGGUCACGCAGCCGCACCAGGCCGUCUGCCAGCAGGGAGUCUCCUCCAGAAAGGACAGGACGCCGCCGCAGUAUGCCGGGGUCCUCGGACAAGAGCACACCGUCCAUGGAGCCUACAUCCACCGCUGCGACGCCUUUCAGAGUCACCGUGAGUACUGUGAGUUUGUCUUUGUUUUCCUUUUUUCUGCCUCUUCUUUGUUUUAUUCUCUGACUUUGUCAUUUUCUCCCCCUUGAUGUGCCUUAGAAGGCUGUUUCUUAUAGAACAGGUUUGCUUUUCCCCCUUUUUCUCAAGGCUCGUCUGGCAUCCAGAUGGAAGGAUGCCAAUCUGAAACUCAUUUGCUUUAAGUGUUUGGAACAGGGCCUUUGAUGUUUGGCGUCUAUGCAACACAAAUACAUUUGCACAAUUUGGGUUUCUACUCAGCACUCAAACCCUCAUUGAUUUUGAUUUCCCUUCAUUAAAUUUCUUAUUCUCAUUCGAAUAGUUCAAGUGAGCUAAGGCACACACAUACUCCCACACCUGUUCGUGCUCGGCAUCCAUCCGCCAUCUAGCACGCUUGUCCUCUCCUCGGUCAAGCGCGCACACAAAUGCAGAGCAGUGCUUUGCCUGUCAUGUUGCAUAAUUCUGCUGUACUUUCUGCCAUGUUUAAUUCAGCAGAUAAACAACCAGUUGAUUAAGCAAAAGCAUCCUCUAUGAGUCAUCAAUUUAAAGAUAAUUAGCAAUUAGCGGCGCACAUUUCCAUUAAUGAAUAAUGAGCGGGGAGAUGUCGCCCCAGAGGUGAACUGUAAACAGUCGAAGUUAGGCCAGCAGAGCCACACACGCUCAGUAAUUAGUCUCUCAUAAAGAAUAUUCUAGCUUUGUAUAAACCAUCAGCCUUUGCAGGUACACCAGUGGACUUAGUUAAGAGCUUCACACUCUUGCAUCAUUCCUGAAACCAGAAAUUAUAUAUUUGCUUUCUUUCAUUUCCUUCUUUUCCCCCACCAUCAGCAAUAUUCUGCACUCAAAUGACUCUAGUGCUCUAAUAAAAGCCCACAGUCAAUGUAAUAACAAUAAACAGUAGACCCACUAGACCCACUAGUGCUGGACCACCUGCAGAGUGACAAUAAAGUCUGUUACUCAUAUAAGACGAUCACAGUUUGCCAACCUAGAGAUGGCAAAACUCUAAUCUGCCCUUAUAAAAAGAUGGAAAUGGUAUUGGGGGGUGUGUGUGUGUGUGUGUGUGUGUGU